rnacentral:rRNA from 1 species
AUUGAACGCUGGCGGCAGGCUUAACACAUGCAAGUCGAACGGUAACAGGAGAAAGCUUGCUUUCUUGCUGACGAGUGGCGGACGGGUGAGUAAUGCUUGGGAAUCUGGCUUAUGGAGGGGGAUAACGACGGGAAACUGUCGCUAAUACCGCGUAGAGUCGAGAGACGAAAGUGCGGGACCGCAAGGCCGCAUGCCAUAGGAUGAGCCCAAGUGGGAUUAGGUAGUUGGUGGGGUAAUAGCCUACCAAGCCGACGAUCUCUAGCUGGUCUGAGAGGAUGACCAGCCACACCGGGACUGAGACACGGCCCGGACUCCUACGGGAGGCAGCAGUGGGGAAUAUUGCGCAAUGGGGGCAACCCUGACGCAGCCAUGCCGCGUGAAUGAAGAAGGCCUUCGGGUUGUAAAGUUCUUUCGGUAUUGAGGAAGGUUGUUGUGUUAAUAGCACGACAAAUUGACGUUAAAUACAGAAGAAGCACCGGCUAACUCCGUGCCAGCAGCCGCGGUAAUACGGAGGGUGCGAGCGUUAAUCGGAAUAACUGGGCGUAAAGGGCACGCAGGCGGACUUUUAAGUGAGGUGUGAAAUCCCCGGGCUUAACCUGGGAAUUGCAUUUCAGACUGGGAGUCUAGAGUACUUUAGGGAGGGGUAGAAUUCCACGUGUAGCGGUGAAAUGCGUAGAGAUGUGGAGGAAUACCGAAGGCGAAGGCAGCCCCUUGGGAAUGUACUGACGCUCAUGUGCGAAAGCGUGGGAGCAAACAGG